UACGUAGGGGGCAAGCGUUGUCCGGAAUCAUUGGGCGUAAAGCGCGCGUAGGCGGCCCGGUAAGUCCGCUGUAAAAGUCCAGGGCUCAACCCUGGAAAGCCGGUGGAUACUGUCGGGCUAGAGUCCGGAAGAGGCGAGUGGAAUUCCUGGUGUAGCGGUGGAAUGCGCAGAUAUCAGGUGGAACACCGAUGGCGAAGGCAGCUCGCUGGGACGGUACUGACGCUGAGGAGCGAAAGCAUGGGGAGCGAACAGG
rnacentral:rRNA from 1 species